UACGGGGGGAGCAAGCGUUGUUCGGAUUUACUGGGCGUAAAGGGCGCGUAGGCGGCCUGUGCAAGUCAGUUGUGAAAUCUCCGGGCUUAACCCGGAAAGGUCAACCGAUACUGCAGGGCUAGAGUGCAGAAGGGGCAACUGGAAUUCUCGGUGUAGCGGUGAAAUGCGUAGAUAUCGAGAGGAACACCUGCGGCGAAGGCGGGUUGCUGGGCUGACACUGACGCUGAAGCGCGAAAGCUAGGGGAGCGAACGGG
rnacentral:rRNA from 1 species